CCCGACUCAAGGAAGGGUAUGCAUGCUUAUGGUCUUGCUCUCGACGUCCAAGAUGGCAUCUUGGAUGGUAUGUCUAAAAUGGUGGAAGAAAUGAGGGUUAUUGGAAAACAAACUUUGUUACCCUUCCAAAAAGGAAUACUACAGUCCAACAAUGCCCUAAAGAUGCUGCAUGGGGAAUUGAAGUCGCUUCGACAUAAAGCAUGUCCUGACGUACAGGCUUAAUCAAGACGUCCUUGAAAAUUUCUUUGGCGUUAUUCGAAGCAAAGGAGGCCAACACGACCAUCCCGAUCGCCAGGAAUUUAAGUACAGGCUAAGGGCAUACAUACUUGGUUUUAACGAAGGUGUGUUAUCUGACAGCGCAAAUGUAUCGGUGGAUGACACUCCUGACCUUGAAGUGUCGGAUAAUUCCCUCACAGUAUAAUAUUUAAUGGCCUUUUGUUGCAACCAGAAAAUGAGAGCGAGCAAGUUGAAGAUGACGAACUGGAAUCUUUGGAGCACGAUGGCUUGGAGAAUCUCGCAGGUUAUAUCUGCCAUAAGCUGCACACUCAGAUUCCCAACAUCAGAGAGGGAGCGACAGGUGAGGAGGAUUUCACUUGGGUAAAUCACGUCACCGAAGGUGGCUUAUCGAAACCAACUCCAGAAAUGAUGGCGAACAUGAGGGCAUUGCAGAGAGUUUUCGAUGAGGUUAAUGAAGACGGUUUAUUCAUUGCCAGCAGUUAUCUGCAGACCCAUAUCUUAAAAGCGGAUCAUGUUCCAUGCGAUAUAAAAAUUAAAAAACUCUUCUUACGCGCACGUAUGUUUUUUAGAAUACGCACUUUAAAUAAAACAAU